GAAAAGAUUUGAUAGGAAUCUGAGGGUGACUUCUUCACGCAAAGUGUGGUGAGUGUAUGGAACGAGCUGCCAGGGGAGGAAAAUUGAAGCAGAGACUAUGGCAAAGUGUAAGCAGCAAUUAGACAGCUACAUGUAUAGGACAGGUUUAUAGGGAUAUGCACCCAUGCAGGCAGGUGGGACCAGUGUAGAUG